UCCCUGGUGCCUCAGUGGUAGAGAAUCCGCCUGCCAACGCAGGAGACACAGGUUCAAUCCCUGAUCUGGGAG
rnacentral:tRNA from 1 species